rfam:Phialocephala scopiformis strain CBS 120377 unplaced genomic scaffold LY89scaffold_6, whole genome shotgun sequence.
GGGGACGUAGCUUAGUGGUAAAGCUCACAAUAGAUAGCGGCUGGGUACAGGUUGACCAAAACUGGAUGGCACUGAGCUGCCUGGAUCGAUCUGUAUUCCGGUAGCACUGAAUUGUGGAUCGCUGAUUCGAAUCCAGCCGUCUCCA